rnacentral:misc_RNA from 1 species
ACUCUAAUUCCAUUACCUGGUAUUUAAAAUACAGACAAAUGCAUAUGAAUCUUUCCAUGUUCCAUUAGUCAAACUUUAAAAUAUAAAACUGAUGCAGAAUUUCUGAAAUCAUGUACAGAACAUUUAAGGAAUAUAUAUAUUUCUGUUCAUCACUGUCCAGAUUCAAGUUGCUACGGUAUGGCAAAACCAAUCAUUGAAAUUUGAUUGAA